UAUUUGUCUUUUUAAAAAUACCAACCUUUUAACUUCGGACCUACGUUAUUAUGGUGAAUAUUCCAACCAAAUGACAUUCCAUAUUUUUCGCUAAACUUCUAUUUUUUUGAUUUCUUGAUUUUCUUCUUCUUGUAUUGCUUUUCAACUUCAUCAAUUUGGGCAUCGGCAGCUUUUAUUAGUUUUUCAGCAAAUUCCGGAUCGGUAAUUUCUUUGCGUGAAUAUUCAACUAUCGAACAUUCAUUUACAAGGACGGGUUGAGUAAUCGAAGCAAAUUCGGGACUGCAAAUAGCAUGAAAAAAUGAUUGAGCACCAUGAAUAGUACCUUUCAGAAGAAGCCACCAAAACGGCCAAAGUAACAAAUAAAGAAAUAAUCCCCAAACCUUUCCAAAGGAUACAACUCUUCGAAAUCCUGGAGUUCGAACGACACCUGGAUUUGCCAUGAUGGUAUGUAAAUUACACGGCAUUUUGUCAGGUCGUUCAUGAGCUUCAGCUUUUUUCUGAAAAUCAUAAAGAUAAGUCAUCAAGGCAAGUUUGGCAUUUCCCACUACCUUCCAGGGACUUUUUCGAGGAUAUGGAUGAUUAGAUAAAUCAAGAUCGUUGAAAUCUAUAUUACCUAAAAUAUAUGAUGAACAGGUAGCUGCAACAAUUCGUACUUCCCUGUGCCCGGGCUGACCAUAUAUAACUGGGCGGAGAAUCCUAAGUAGCUGGUAUGGACCUAAGAAAUUUGUAGCCCAUUGCAACUCAACACCUUCCUCGGUAGUUUGCCUAUCCAUAAAUGGAGGCAGUAAAACUCCACUGCACAAAACUAUCAUAUCCAGCCUACGAAUAGGAGUGCAAUCAAUCCACUUUGUAGCGAACUUCCUAACAGAUAACAUAGAGCUCAAGUCACAGACUUCAGUAUAAAUUAGUUGGUUUUUUGUACGCUUUCUAAGGUCCAUUAUGUAAUCUACAGUAAAUUGAUCUGGCUCUGUACGAAGUAGAAUAACAACUUGAGCUCCCAGAGAAGCUAAUUUCUCUACGACAACUUGUCCUAUUCCAGAACUUCCCCCAGUGACCAUGACUACCAUUCCGUUCAUUUUACGCUCCCAAGUUGUUGUUCGUCCAGAAGUCCAGAAUUUAAAGGCCGCAAUUGUUGAAACCGCAAUCGCAGCCUUUGUAUAUUGAGCCCAAUGUGUAAUUAGAUGCUCAUACUUAAAUUGUGCUAUGUGAGCAAUAAUUGGAAUAGGCAUAUUUCGUUGAUUUACAAAAUCUGUUGAUGGAGUUGGCAAAAGGCAGCUACAUACCACUGACAUUGAGGUAUACUAAACUCGUCUUCAUAUUUAAUUCUUAACAAUCAAAAAUUUAAAA